UACGUAGGGGGGCAAGCGUUGUCCGGAUUCAUUGGCGUAAAGAGCGUGUAGGCGGCCAGGUAGGUCGAUUGUGAAAACUGGAGGCUCAACCUUCAGAGGUCGACCGAAACCCAUCUGGCUAGAGUCCGGGAGAGGAGAGUGGGAAUUCCUGGUGUAGCGGUGAAAUGCGCAGAUAUCAGGAAGAACACCCGUGGCGAAGCGGCUCUCUGGAACGGUACUGACGCUGAGACGCGAAAGCGUGGGGAGCGAACAGG
rnacentral:rRNA from 1 species